GAUGAACGCUGGCGGCGUGCCUAAUACAUGCAAGUCGAACGAAACUUCUUUAUCACCGAGUGCUUGCACUCACCGAUAAAGAGUUGAGUGGCGAACGGGUGAGUAACACGUGGGCAACCUGCCCAAAAGAGGGGGAUAACACUUGGAAACAGGUGCUAAUACCGCAUAACCAUAGUUACCGCAUGGUAACUAUGUAAAAGGUGGCUAUACUACCGCUUUUGGAUGGGCCCGCGGCGCAUUAGCUAGUUGGUAGGGUAAAGGCUUACCAAGGCAAUGAUGCGUAGCCGAAUUGAGAGGUUGAUCGGCCACAUUGGGACUGAGACACGGCCCAAACUCCUACGGGAGGCAGCAGUAGGGAAUCUUCCACAAUGGGCAAAAGCCUGAUGGAGCAACGCCGCGUGGGUGAAGAAGGUCUUCGGAUCGUAAAACCCUGUUGUUAGAGAAGAAAGUGCGUGAGAGUAACUGUUCACGUUUCGACGGUAUCUAACCAGAAAGCCACGGCUAACUACGUG
rnacentral:rRNA from 1 species